rnacentral:rRNA from 1 species
AUAGGCGAUUUCUUGUUCUUCAUGAAUCCUAACUUUUUCUUCGUGAUCAGAACUCCGCAGUUAAGCGUGCUUGGGCGAGAGUAGUACUAGGAUGGGUGACCCCCUGGGAAGUCCUCGUGUUGCAACCC